AUUGAACGCUGGCGGCAUGCUUUACACAUGCAAGUCGAACGGUAACAGGCCGCAAGGUGCUGACGAGUGGCGAACGGGUGAGUAAUGCAUCGGAACGUGCCCAGUCGUGGGGGAUAACGCAGCGAAAGCUGUGCUAAUACCGCAUACGAUCUAUGGAUGAAAGCGGGGGACCGUAAGGCCUCGCGCGAUUGGAGCGGCCGAUGUCAGAUUGGGUAGUUGGUGGGGUAAAGGCCUACCAAGCCGACGAUAUGUACCUGGUUUGAGAGGACGACCAGCCAGACUGGGACUGAGACACGGCCCAGACUCCUACGGGAGGCAGCAUUGGGGAAUUUUGGACAAUGGGCGCAAGCCUGAUUCAUCAAUGCCUCGUGCAGGAAGAAGGCCUUCGGGUUGUAAACUGCUUUUGUACGGAACGAAACGGCCUGGGUUAAUACCCUGGGCUAAUGACGGUACCGUAAGAAUAAGCACCGGCUAACUACGUGCCAGCCGCCGCCGUAAUAC
rnacentral:rRNA from 1 species